rnacentral:rRNA from 1 species
CGCCUGGGGAGUACGGCCGCAAGGUUAAAACUCAAAUGAAUUGACGGGGGCCCGCACAAGCGGUGGAGCAUGUGGUUUAAUUCGACGCAACGCGAAGAACCUUACCUGGCCUUGACAUCCAGAGAACUUUCCAGAGAUGGAUUGGUGCCUUCGGGAACUCUGAGACAGGUGCUGCAUGGCCGUCGUCAGCUCGUGUCGUGAGAUGUUGGGUUAAGUCCCGUAACGAGCGCAACCCCUAUCCCUGGUUGCUAGCAGGUAAUGCUGAGAACUCCAGGGAGACUGCCGGUGACAAACCGGAGGAAGGUGGGGAUGACGUCAGGUCAUCAUGGCCCUUACGGCCAGGGCUACACACGUGCUACAAUGGCGCGUACAGAGGGCUGCCAACUCGCGAGAGUGAGCCAAUCCCUUAAAACGCGUCGUAGUCCGGAUCGGAGUCUGCAACUCGACUUCGUGAAGUCGGAAUCGCUAGUAAUCGCGAAUCAGAAUGUCGCGGUGAAUACGUUCCCGGGCCUUGUACACACCGCCCGUCACACCAUGGGAGUGGAUUGCACCAGAAGUAGUUAGUCUAACCUUCGGGAGGACGAUUACCACGGUGUGGUUCAUGACUGGGGUGAAGUCGUAACAAGGUAACCGUA